AUUGAACGCUGGCGGCAGGCUUAACACAUGCAAGUCGAACGAGUGGCGGACGGGUGAGUAAUGCUUGGGAAUCUAGCUUAUGGAGGGGGAUAACUACGGGAAACUGUAGCUAAUACCGCGUACCAUAGGAUGAGCCCAAGUGGGAUUAGGUAGUUGGUGAGGUAAAGGCUCACCAAGCCGACGAUCUCUAGCUGGUCUGAGAGGAUGACAGGCAACACGGGGACUGAGACACGGCCCAGACUCCUACGGGAGGCAGCAGUGGGGAAUAUUGAGCAAUGGGGGCAACCUGACGCAGCCAGGCCGGGGGAAUGAAGAAGGCCUUCGGGUUGGAAAGUACUUUCAGUCGGGAGGGGUUACCGACAGAAGAAGCACCGGCUAACUCCGUGCCAGCAGCCGCGGUAUUC
rnacentral:rRNA from 1 species